rnacentral:rRNA from 1 species
UUACUCCUACGGGGCGCAGCAGUGAGGAAUAUUGGUCAAUGGGCGAGAGCCUGAACCAGCCAAGUCGCGUGAAGGAUGACGGCCCUACGGGUUGUAAACUUCUUUUGUCAGGGAGCAAUUGGGUCCACGUGUGGUCAAAAGCGAGAGUACCCGAAGAAAAAGCAUCGGCUAACUCCGUGCCAGCAGCCGCGGUAAUACGGAGGAUGCGAGCGUUAUCCGGAUUUAUUGGGUUUAAAG